GUUUGCGAAGCUUGGAACUUCCUCCAGCUCCUCCUGCAGCUGCUGAAACACCGGAUACCAGAUUGAGAGUUGACACUGAUCGAACAUUGUUGCCAGAAGUUGGAUGAGGCAGAAGACUGUUCCCAGACAUUGACCCAUCUUGCCACACUGUGUUAAUGGUUCCACCAUUCCCAAGAUCCUGUGCAAGCUUCAGACUUGCCAACACAACGAUCUCAUUGUUCUGGUAAGUUGCAGACAAACCAGAGACAUUGAAACUCAGAUCACCCUCUAGUAGACUCGUCUGGUAGCUUCUGAUGGGAGAAGUGUAAACCCUGACAGUACCAUCUGAUUGUGGAUAAGCAACGAUGGCUUGAGCUCCCACCAUUCCCGUAGACGUUGGGUUCACAGCCCAAGCAACCCAUUUACCAGAGGUGAGCUUAGUGUGGCGAUAAGCAAUGUGGAGGCUCCCGGUGGAAGACUCGUAAGUGUAAUGGAGGAAGGAAUCAAGAAAAGGAAGAUCGUUGCAAGAGUCAAAGACAUUGUUGCUGGAGAACUUGUAUUUAGAACAUGUCUGAGCAAAGGAAAGAGUAGUCAUGGAUAUGGAGAGGAUAAGAGAGAGACAGAGGAUUUGAUUCAAGAACUUCAUAAUGGACAUAUGAUUACUCAUGAAUCAGAA